rnacentral:rRNA from 1 species
UACGUAGGCAGCGAGCGUUGUUCGGAGUUACUGGGCGUAAAGGGUGUGUAGGCGGUUCUUUAAGUUUGGUGUGAAAUCUCCCGGCUCAACCGGGAGGGUGCGCCGAAUACUGAGGGACUAGAGUGCGGGAGAGGAAAGUGGAAUUCCUGGUGUAGCUGUGAAAUGCGUAGAUAUCAGGAGGAACACCGGUGGUGUAGACGGCUUUCUGGACCGUAACUGACGCUGAGACACGAAAGCGUGGGUAGCAAACAGG